AACACUGUUAACCUGCGGUACCUGCGGAGGGAUCAUUACCGAGUUUACAACUCCCAAACCCCUGUGAACAUACCAAUUGUUGCCUCGGCGGAUCAGCCCGCUCCCGGUAAAACGGGACGGCCCGCCAGAGGACCCCUAAACUCUGUUUCUAUAUGUAACUUCUGAGUAAAACCAUAAAUAAAUCAAAACUUUUAACAAUGGAUCU
rnacentral:misc_RNA from 1 species